GUGGCGGACGGGUGAGUAAAAUGUAGGAAUCUGCCUUGAGGAGGGGGAUAACUUGGGGAAACUCAAGCUAAUACCACAUAAGACCUAUGGGUGAAAGCAGGGGAUCGAAAGACCUUGCGCCUUAAGAUGAGCCUACAACGGAUUAGCUAGUUGGGGGGGUAAAGGCCCACCAAGGCUACGAUCUGUAGCUAGUCUGAGAGGAUGGCCAGCCACACUGGGACUGAGACACGGCCCAGACUCCUACGGGAGGCAGCAGUGGGGAAUAUUGGACAAUGGGGGAAACCCUGAUCCAGCAAUGCCGCGUGUGUGAAGAAGGCCUUCGGGUUGUAAAGCACUUUCAGUGGGGAGGAAGGGGUGUUAGUUAAUACCUAACAUCAUUGACGUUACCUACAGAAGAAGCACCGGCUAACUCUGUGCCAGCAGCCGCGGUAAUACAGAGGGUGCAAGCGUUAAUCGGAAUUACUGGGCGUAAAGCGUGUGUAGGUGGUUGAAUAAGUUAGAUGUGAAAUCCCCGGGCUUAACCUGGGCACUGCGUUUAAGACUGUUUAACUAGAGUGCUGUAGAGGAUAGUGGAAUUUCCAGUGUAGCGGUGAAAUGCGUAGAUAUUGGAAGGAACACCAGUGGCGAAGGCGACUAUCUGGACAGACACUGACACUGAGACACGAAAGCGUGGGGAGCAAACAGGAUUAGAUACCCUGGUAGUCC
rnacentral:rRNA from 1 species